AAGUGCUUGACAUAUCAUGCAGCUAAAAGGACCCAGUUUAAAUGCUUGAGAAUCAUAACCAAAGGGGCACUUAGGUGACACAGUUGCAGAUUCUCCAGAGUCUUGUUUAGGCUUGCUCUCCUGGCCAUCCUGUUGUUUAUUUUGGUCGUCACAAGGUUUCUUAAGAGUUGAAUCAUAUCCAAAGGGGCAUUUAGGUGACACCGUAGCAACUUCUCCAGAUUCU
rnacentral:lncRNA from 1 species